UUGGCCUCAGAUCAGGGAGGAUCACCCSCCAAAUUUAA
rnacentral:rRNA from 1 species